rnacentral:rRNA from 1 species
CCUACGGGAGGCAGCAGUGAGGAAUAUUGGUCAAUGGACGGAAGUCUGAACCAGCCAUGCAGCGUGCAGGAAGACGGCUCUAUGAGUUGUAAACUGCUUUUGUACAAGGGUAAACCUGAAUACGUGUAUUCAGCUGAAAGUACUAUACGAAUAAGGAUCGGCUAACUCCGUGCCAGCCGCCGCGGUAAUACGGAGGAUCCAAGCGUUAUCCGGAUUUAUUGGGUUUAAAGGGUGCGUAGGUGGAUUGAUAAGUUAGAGGUGAAAGUUCCGGGCUUAACGCGGGAAUUGCAUCUAAUACUGUUGGUCUAGAGAGUAGAUGCGGUAGGCGGAAUGUGUGGUGUAGCGGUGAAAUGAUUAGAGAUCAUACAGAACACCGAUUGCGAAGGCAGCUUACCAAUCUAUAUCUGACGUUGAGGCACGAAAGCGUGGGGAGCAAACAGGAUUAGAUACCCGGGUAGUC